CGCGGUUAUACCAAGUGAUUAAGUUAUAUUCUUAGGUAAAAAGACAGUUAGGUUUAAAAAAUAAACUUAGUCUAUUGACCACUUGUAAAAAAGUAAAAUUUGUAUACAAGUAGCUAAUCUAGAAAUGGCUAUUUAAAAUACUGAAGCUGUGAUAGUCUUGAGGGAAACUGGGAUUAGAUACCCCAUUAUUCUUGACUGUAAAUAUAAUUAAAUUUACCAGAGUACUAUGAAUAGUUAAAAAUUUAAAACUCAAAGGGCUUGGCGGUGUUUUAGACCUAUCAGGGGAACCUGUCUCGUAAUCGACAAUCCACGUUAUAUCUAACCUCAUUUUGUAUUCAGUUUGUAUACCGUCGUCGUCAGGUAACUUUUAAAAAUGUAGAAGUUAGCAACAAAAAUUGUGUAAAUUAAGACGUCAGAUCAAGGUGCAGCCUAUAGUGAGGAGAGGAUGGGUUACAAUUAUUAAAGUUAUAAUUACGGAAAUUUAAAUGAAAUCAUAUUUUGAAGGAGGACUUGAAAGUAAACUAAAUUAUAUAAAUAGUUUGAAUAAGGCUCUG
rnacentral:rRNA from 1 species